rnacentral:rRNA from 1 species
GAACUUAAGCAUAUCAAUAAGCGGAGGAAAAGAAACCAACAGGGAUUGCCUUAGUAACGGCGAGUGAAGCGGCAACAGCUCAAAUUUGAAAUCUGGCUCUUUUAGAGUCCGAGUUGUAAUUUGUAGAAGAUGCUUUGGGUGUAGCUCCGGUCUAAGUUCCUUGGAACAGGACGUCAUAGAGGGUGAGAAUCCCGUAUGUGACUGGGUGCUUUCGCUCGUGUAAAGCUCUUUCGACGAGUCGAGUUGUUUGGGAAUGCAGCUCAAAAUGGGUGGUAAAUUUCAUCUAAAGCUAAAUAUUGGCCAGAGACCGAUAGCGCACAAGUAGAGUGAUCGAAAGAUGAAAAGCACUUUGGAAAGAGAGUUAAACAGUACGUGAAAUUGUUGAAAGGGAAGCGCUUGCAAUCAGACUUGCGCGCUGUUGAUCAUCCGAGCUUUUGCCCGGUGCACUCGGCAGCGUUCAGGCCAGCAUUGGUUUUGGUGGGCGGAUAAAGGCCUUGGGAAUGUAGCUUCUUUCGGGGAGUGUUAUAGCCCUCGGUGCAAUGCGCCCUACCAGGACCGAGGACCGCGCUUCGGCUAGGAUGCUGGCGUAAUGGUUGUAAGCGACCCGUCUUGAAACACGGACCAAGGAGUCUAACAUCUAUGCGAGUGUUUGGGUGUCAAACCCAUACGCGUAAUGAAAGUGAACGGAGGUGAGAACCCUUAAGGGUGCAUCAUCGACCGAUCCUGAUGUCUUCGGAUGGAUUUGAGUAAGAGCAUAGCUGUUGGGACCCGAAA